rnacentral:rRNA from 1 species
GGCUCAGGAUGAACGCUAGCGACAGGCCUAACACAUGCAAGUCGAGGGGCAGCGGGAUUGAAGCUUGCUUAAUGCCGGCGACCGGCGCACGGGUGCGUAACAGGUGUGCAGUCUGUCCAUAGUCGGGGAAUAGCCCAGCGAAAGUUGGAUUAAUGCUCCAUGUGAAUCGAGACCGCAUGAUUUUGAUUUGAAACGUAAGGACUAUGGGUGAGCACGCUUCUGAUUAGAUAGUUGGUGAGGUAACGGCUCACCAAGUCGACGAUCAGUAGGGGUUCUGAGAGGAAGGUCCCCCACAUUGGAACUGAGACACGGUCCAAACUCCUACGGGAGGCAGCAGUGAGGAAUAUUGGUCAAUGGGCGAGAGCCUGAACCAGCCAAGUCGCGUGAAGGAUGAAGGUUCUAUGGAUUGUAAACUUCUUUUGUCCGAGGGUAAAAAAGGCCACGUGUGGCUUCUUGCAAGUAUCGGACGAAUAAGCAUCGGCUAACUCCGUGCCAGCCGCGGC